rnacentral:misc_RNA from 1 species
GAUGAAGAACGUAGCGAAAUGCGAUAAGUAGUGUGAAUUGCAGAAUUCAGUGAAUCAUCGAAUCUUUGAACGCACAUUGCGCCCCUUGGUAUUCCAUGGGGCAUGCCUGUUCGAGCGUCAUUUGUACCUUCAAGCUCUGCUUGGUGUUGGGUGUUUGUCUCGCCUCUGCGUGUAGACUCGCCUCAAAACAAUUGGCAGCCGGCGUAUUGAUUUCGGAGCGCAGUACAUCUCGCGCUUUGCACUCAUAACGACGGCGUCCAAAAGUACAUUUUUACACUCUUGACCUCGGAUCAGGUAGGGAUACCCGCUGAACUUAAGCAUAUCAAUAAGCGGAGGA